rnacentral:rRNA from 1 species
AGAGUUUGAUCCUGGCUCAGGACGAACGCUGGCGGCGUGCCUAAUACAUGCAAGUCGAGCGAGCUUGCCUAGAUGAUUUUAGUGCUUGCACUAAAUGAAACUAGAUACAAGCGAGCGGCGGACGGGUGAGUAACACGUGGGUAACCUGCCCAAGAGACUGGGAUAACACCUGGAAACAGAUGCUAAUACCGGAUAACAACACUAGACGCAUGUCUAGAGUUUGAAAGAUGGUUCUGCUAUCACUCUUGGAUGGACCUGCGGUGCAUUAGCUAGUUGGUAAGGUAACGGCUUACCAAGGCAAUGAUGCAUAGCCGAGUUGAGAGACUGAUCGGCCAUAUUGGGACUGAGACACGGCCCAAACUCCUACGGGAGGCAGCAGUAGGGAAUCUUCCACAAUGGACGAAAGUCUGAUGGAGCAACGCCGCGUGAGUGAAGAAGGGUUUCGGCUCGUAAAGCUCUAUUGGUAGUGAAGAAAGAUAGAGGUAGUAACUGGCCUUUAUUUGACGGUAAUUACUUAGAAAGUCACGGCUAACUACGUGCCAGCAGCCGCGGUAAUACGUAGGUGGCAAGCGUUGUCCGGAUUUAUUGGGCGUAAAGCGAGUGCAGGCGGUUCAAUAAGUCUGAUGUGAAAGCCUUCGGCUCAACCGGAGAAUUGCAUCAGAAACUGUUGAACUUGAGUGCAGAAGAGGAGAGUGGAACUCCAUGUGUAGCGGUGGAAUGCGUAGAUAUAUGGAAGAACACCAGUGGCGAAGGCGGCUCUCUGGUCUGCAACUGACGCUGAGGCUCGAAAGCAUGGGUAGCGAACAGGAUUAGAUACCCUGGUAGUCCAUGCCGUAAACGAUGAG